rnacentral:lncRNA from 1 species
AUCAUUUAUUGUGUUAUAAAAUUCCAUCAUUAUUACCGAUCGUUUCUAAAACAAGUGGUAAAAGAUUUGAAAGUUGGUAUCUCAAGUUCGAAUCCUAAUUGAUUCACAUUUCUAGCUAAGUUUAUUUCUAAAGAAAAUAAAUGAAACGGAUAGCGUGCUAUCUAUCUCCAAAAAAAAGAAAAUUCCAUCAUUAUUUCUCCAGAGUAAAAAAAAGAAAAAAAAAAUGUACGGAGAUCUCCUAAACUUUAGCGCCGCUAUUCUAA